rnacentral:rRNA from 1 species
AUUGAACGCUGGCGGCAGGCCUAACACAUGCAAGUCGAGCGGCAGCGGGAAAGUAGCUUGCUACUUUUGCCGGCGAGCGGCGGACGGGUGAGUAAUGCCUGGGGAUCUGCCCAGUCGAGGGGGAUAACUACUGGAAACGGUAGCUAAUACCGCAUACGCCCUACGGGGGAAAGCAGGGGACCUUCGGGCCUUGCGCGAUUGGAUGAACCCAGGUGGGAUUAGCUAGUUGGUGAGGUAAUGGCUCACCAAGGCGACGAUUCCUAGCUGGUCUGAGAGGAUGAUCAGCCACACGGGAACUGAGACACGGUCCAGACUCCUACGGGAGGCAGCAGUGGGGAAUAUUGCACAAUGGGGGAAACCCUGAUGCAGCCAUGCCGCGUGUGUGAAGAAGGCCUUCGGGUUGUAAAGCACUUUCAGCGAGGAGGAAAGGUUGGUAGCUAAUAACUGCCAGCUGUGACGUUACUCGCAGAAGAAGCACCGGCUAACUCCGUGCCAGCCGCCGCAGUAA